UUUCUCCUUUACUUGGCUAAAUCCACUUGCUGUCUCCCACCUUCCUGGGAAAAGUCAAUAACCCUUUGGAAAUGAAUUCCAAUAGUAGAUAUGGUGGUGGUACUCUUCCAAUAGAGUAGGAAGUUGAUCAUCUCUGUUAUUGGAGUCUACUCCAAAUAGUUGAAUGAUGCACUGAUGCUCUAGGAAGGUGCCACCUCCCUCCUGAGACAGGUGUCUUAAGUUGUUUGGAUAAGUCACUGACCUGUCCUGAACUGAAGGAAUACUGAGCCUGGCCAGAGAAUGGAUCUUUCCCCUGUUCACAGGCUGGGCCUUUAAGCCCAGGCAGACACACCUGUUGUGCUGAUGAUCUUGGAGAACCAGGCAAGAGAGCAUGGAUGGCACAGUGUGAUACAUCCUGACCAUCUGACUAUCCUGCGGAGCGGUCUGGAACAUCUUCAUUUUUAAAGCUGGUUGUGAUCAUGAGAACGGCAUGAAGAAGGACUGAAGACCUCACUUCAGGGCCCAGGAAGGACUGGUCCAGGACUCAGGAGGUGUGUGUUGUAUUCUUGACGCUUUCACUGAGUUGCUGUGGGAUAUUAAGAAAGUCUUACCAUCCCUGGGCCUCCCCUUCUGGAAUACAGAAGUUCAUCCCAUUCCCCAUCGUGAGAAUGUGACAUGGACAAGGACAAAUGGCAUCACUUAAAAUACAUGUCACCUACAUUCAAGGCAAGGCGGCUUUGAUAAAGGAAAGACUCCGCUUUGCAUCAGCUAUGGGCUUGGAGCAGAAGCUGAGAUCUCAGUGCUGGCUGCUCUCCAGGGAAGUUCUGGAGGGAGCAGAGACUUCAGGGAACUCUGAUGAGAACCUUGAUUCCUCUUAACUCCAGCUGAACCCAAGUCUCCAGGACCAAUGACAAGCAGAAAACUCACAACUGUCUGAAAAACACAGCGUUACUCAGACUUCAGCAAUGCCCCACUAUGGAGAACUGGGCUCACUUGCUGAUAGAGGAAUCACCCUUGCUAAGUAGGUACCAGACUCCAUCCUAUUUUGUAUACAUCUCCACUAUAGCCCGUUUGUAAUUAUUUGUUUUAUUCCCAUCUCUUACAUGAGAGUAGAAGCUGAAGAAAUCGUGUCUUUAAUCAUUUUAUUUUCAACACCUAGCACAGAGAAGGUGUGUCAUAUGUGCUGAAUAAAUGAAGAGCUGAAUGAAACCCUGACACAGCUCCCAGGGUUAUCCAACACUAACAGAAUGACUCAGAGCCUCUGAAUUGGGGACUUGAUCCACUACAUCUGUUCUCUCGGCUUGGUUUCCUUGUGGGAGAAAGAACAACCUCGUUCAUGCCCUACCAAAUACAAAUGUCAAUAGAUAAUCUUCCAAUCUCUGAAGCCAGAAUUUGGCCUAUGUACUCCUUUGCUGGGUGCAUUUUGGCCUAGAGGCAUGGCAUGGGCAGUGAGGAUCGUAGCCGUAGAACCCAGGGGCCAUGGUGCCUUACGUAUCAAUACGCACACAUUCGAUGCGGGAAGAUGGCUCUGCUCUCUGGGGUAAUGCAGAUCCCUUGGGGAGGUCUGUGCAUGGGGAAAAGAGCAGUGGUGGUGUGGUGCCCCUCCCCAGUUCAGCAGUACUUUGAUGUCUGAAGCCAG
rnacentral:lncRNA from 10 species